AGGAGUUUGAUCCUGGGCUCAGGAUGAACGCUGGCGGCGUGCCUAAUACGAUGCAAGUCGUAGCGGAAAGGCCACUUCGGUGGUACUCGAGCGGCGGACGGCAGAGUAACGCGUAGGAACAUACCCCAAACUGAGGCAUAACUGCUCGAAAGAGCAGCUAAUACCGCAUGUGAUCUUCGGAUUAAAGCUUCGGCGGUUUGGGAAUGGCCUGCGUCCGAUUAGCUAGUUGGUGAGGUAAAAUGCUCACCAAGGGCUUCGAUCGGUAGCUGGUCUGAGAGGAUGAUCAGCCUGACUGGAACUGAGAACGGUCCAGACUCCUACGGGAGGCAGCAGUAGGGAAUUUUCCACAAUGGGCGAAAGCCUGAUGGAGCAACGCCGCGUGCAGGAUGAAUGCCUUCGGGUUGUAAACUGCUUUUAUUAGUGAAGAAUAUGACGGUAACUAAUGAAUAAGGGUCGGCUAACUACGUG
rnacentral:rRNA from 1 species